CGCAAUGGGCGCAAGCCUGACGGAGCGACGCCGCGUGGAUGAUGAAGUUUUUCGGGGCGUAAAAUUCUUUUGCCGGGGAGGAAGUUUUUUGAUGUUCCCCGGGGAAUAAGAGGUUGCUAAAUUCGUCCCACCAGCAGCGGUAAUAGGAAGGCCCCAAGCUUUUUCCGGAAUCAUUGGGGGUAAAGGUUGGUUGGGGGGGUGUUUUAUUUUCCUGUUAAAUUUUUCGGUUUACCCGGGGUCAUGCAAGGGAAACGGUACAACUAGAGGAUGCGAGGGGUCUGUGGAACUCAUCGUGUAGGGGUGAAAUGCGUUGAUAUUAUGGGGAACACCAAAAGCGAAGGCAGCAGACUGGAGCACUCCUGACACUGAAACAAGAAAGCGU
rnacentral:rRNA from 1 species